rnacentral:rRNA from 1 species
AUUGAACGCUGGCGGCAGGCCUAACACAUGCAAGUCGAGCGGAUGAAGGGAGCUUGCUCCUGGAUUCAGCGGCGGACGGGUGAGUAAUGCCUAGGAAUCUGCCUGGUAGUGGGGGAUAACGUCCGGAAACGGGCGCUAAUACCGCAUACGCCCUGAGGGAGAAAGUGGGGGAUCUUCGGACCUCACGCUAUCAGAUGAGCCUAGGUCGGAUUAGCUAGUUGGUGGGGUAAAGGCCUACCAAGGCGACGAUCCGUAACUGGUCUGAGAGGAUGAUCGGUCACACUGGAACUGAGACACGGUCCAGACCCCUACGGAAGGCAGCAGUCGGGAAUAUUGGACAAAGGGCGAAAGCCUGAUCCAGCCAUGCCGCGUGUGUGAAGAAGGUCUUCGGAUUGUAAAGCACUUUAAGUUGGGAGGAAGGGCAGUAAGUUGAUACCUUGCUGUUUUGACGUUACCAACAGAAUAAGCACCGGCUAACUACGUG